UACGUAGGUGGCGAGCGUUAUCCGGAUUUAUUGGGCGUAAAGCGUGUGUAGGCGGUUUGUUAAGUUUAAGAUUAAAGCCCGGGGCUCAACUCCGGUUCGUCUUAAAAACUGGCAGACUUGAGCGCGGUAGAGGCAAACGGAAUUUCUAGUGUAGCGGUGAAAUGCGUAGAUAUUAGAAGGAACACCAGUGGCGAAGGCGGUUUGCUGGGCCGUUACUGACGCUGAGGCACGAAAGCGUGGGGAGCAAAUA
rnacentral:rRNA from 1 species